GGUUCCUGAAGGAAUUUGACCACUUGACCUCCUUAUCCUCAAGCACGAUGGUAUGCAUGUUGAGAAUGCGUUCCAUGUCAUCCGACGCGAACUCGCUCUCCAGGUAUAAUCGCUCCAGCUCCGGCAACGCACUCCACGCAUCAUCGACAGGUAGGAACAAGGACAGCGUCGGCGUACUGUUCAGGAACGUCCUCAACUCAGGCGUGAGAAUCUUG
rnacentral:misc_RNA from 1 species